GGUGGAACAUUUUAUGGGACAUUCACUGGAUAAAAUGAUUGCUACCUAUAUAUAUCGCUUUAUGCCUGUCGCACCGGAUCUUAAAUUUAUUUAUGUGCCAAUUAAGGAAGAAGGUGACCACUGGUAUCUUAUGGUCAUUAGCUUAUUGGAUGAAAAAUUAUAUCAGUUUGAUUCUAAUCUAAAUGACGAUCAAGUUGAGCCAAGACAAGAAAUUAUGAAAUCCUUGUCGCGACUCUGGUCUCUGGGUUCUUCAAUGGUUGUCUAUGAGAGAGAAGUUUAAUCCCACAGUGUCGGGCAUUCUAAAUGAGCAAUAUAUCCGUACAUCCGUCGUGGUAGAUCUUUUGUUGGGGAUGUUCAAUGACCACAAAUAUGAGUUUCAG